UAUAGGCGCUGAAGGAAUAAGCCACA
rnacentral:piRNA from 1 species